UGAGGAAUAUUGCACAAUGGGCGCAAGCCUGAUGCAGCGACGCCGCGUGGGUGACGAAGGUUUUCGGAUCGUAAAGCCCUUUUCUUGGUGACGAGCGAGGACGGUAGCCAAGGAAAAAGUGUCGGCUAACUACGUGCCAGCAGCCGCGGUAAAACGUAGGACGCAAGCGUUAUCCGGAAUUACUGGGCGUAAAGCGCGCGCAGGCGGGUUGACAAGUCAUGCGUGAAAGCUCCCGGCUAAACUGGGAGAGGUCGGAUGAGACUGUCAGUCUGGAGUAGGUCAGAGGCGUGUGGAAUUCCGCGUGUAGUGGUGAAAUGCGUAGAGAUGCGGAGGAACACCAGUGGCGAAGGCGGCACGCUGGGGCCUGACUGACGCUGAGGCGCGAAAGCAUGGGUAGCGAACGGGAUUAGAUACCCCCGUAGUCC
rnacentral:rRNA from 1 species